rnacentral:rRNA from 1 species
UACGGGGGGGGCAAGCGUUGUUCGGAAUUACUGGGCGUAAAGGGCUCGUAGGUGGCCAACUAAGUCAGACGUGAAAUCCCUCGGCUUAACCGGGGAACUGCGUCUGAUACUGGAUGGCUUGAGUUCGGGAGAGGGAUGCGGAAUUCCAGGUGUAGCGGUGAAAUGCGUAGAUAUCGAGAGGAACACCUGCGGCGAAGGCGGGUUGCUGGGCUGACACUGACGCUGAAGCGCGAAAGCUAGGGGAGCGAACGGG